GCAAAACGCGAAGAACCUUACCUGGGCUUGACAUGCAUCUCUAAGCGCGUGAAAGCGCGUGACCCUUCGGGGAAUUUGCACAGGUGCUGCAUGGCCGUCGUCAGCUCGUGUCGUGAGAUGUUGGGUUAAGUCCCGCAACGAGCGCAACCCUUGUGAUCAGUUACCAGCGCGUCAUGGCGGGGACUCUGGUCAGACUGCCCAGAUCAACUGGGAGGAAGGUGGGGACGACGUCAGGUCAGUAUGGCCCUUACGCCCAGGGCUGCACACGUACUACAAUGCCCAGUACAAUGAGAACCGAGACCGCGAGGUGGAGGAAAUCUAAAAAACUGGGCCCAGUUCGGAUUGGAGGCUGCAACUCGCCUCCAUGAAGUUGGAAUCGCUAGUAAUGGCGCAUCAGCUACGGCGCCGUGAAUACGUUCCCGGGUCUUGUACACACCG
rnacentral:rRNA from 1 species